GCUGGCGACAGGCUUAACACAUGCAAGUCGAACGCCCCGCAAGGGGAGCGGCAGACGGGUGAGUAACGCGUGGGAACAUGCCUUUCGGUUCGGAAUAGCUCCGGGAAACUGGGAUUAAUACCGGAUACGUCCUUCGGGAGAAAGAUUUAUCGCCGAAAGAUUGGCCCGCGUCUGAUUAGCUAGUUGGCGGUGUAAUGGACCACCAAGGCGACGAUCAGUAGCUGGUCUGAGAGGAUGAUCAGCCACACUGGGACUGAGACACGGCCCAGACUCCUACGGGAGGCAGCAGUGGGGAAUAUUGGACAAUGGGCGCAAGCCUGAUCCAGCCAUGCCGCGUGAGUGAUGAAGGCCUUAGGGUUGUAAAGCUCUUUCGACGGGGACGAUAAUGACGGUACCCGUAGAAGAAGCCCCGGCUAACUUCGUGCCAGCAGCCGCGGUAAUACGAANGGGGCUAGCGUUGUUCGGAAUCACUGGGCGUA
rnacentral:rRNA from 1 species